rnacentral:lncRNA from 1 species
ACACCUCACUGCUUCAUCCCCACCUCUAAUUCUCUCUAGCGAUUCUCUGUGUGUGGGGUUUCAAAUUAAGGUUAGGGUUUCAAAUUGGGGCUUAGGGUUUCGAAUUGGGGGCUCGGGUCAGGAGGAAGACGAAGGUCUGACUAUCUCUUCACUCUGUCUCUCUCUCAACCUUCAAUCUUGAACGAUUCACUCACAGUCUCUGAUUUUAAAUUGGGAUUUUAAUGCAGGUUCGGAUGAGUUCAAGUUCGGUUUCGGGAAAUCCCGAAAUAUCGAAAAUAUUUCAGGAAUCCCGAACUUCGGGAAUAUCCAAAUUUUGGUUUGAGAUCGAUCGUCAGAUUUUCGUCCCUAAAAUAAUAGGUUUGGGACUUGAUAUGCAGUUUUCGGUUCGAUAUCCCAUACCGAACCAGCCCUAAGUACCAGACUUGUUCUCAAGGAAACAUUAAGCUAUAACAAAAUAUUGCCGUACGUCAACUUAAUAUUUAACGCUUGCUUAGAUUUUUUUCUGGUUUUAUUCAUUUAAUUAUGUGUACACAAUGUAGCGAUGGUUAAUACCUGUCCUCCUCUCUUUAGGUUCUUAUUUUGAGAGCCUGUGAGGACUAAAUGCAUAUUGAUCACAAGAUUAUAUUAGCUUAGAUCUAAAUGCUUAAAAUAUUUCACAACUUAAUAAAGCAAAACCAACUUAAAAUCCAUGAAUUAUUAAAAACCCAUUUUCUUAUUUUGCUUUAUUAAUUAAGGUGUUAAAUAUUUGAAGCCAUUAGAUAUAAACCAAUAUAAUCUUGUGGCUAAUAUGUAUUUAGUCCUCACUUGUCCUCGCAAUGAGGACCUUAGGAGAGUAGGACUAAGGUUAAUACAUGCACAUAAAGCUAAGUUUGGAAGAUUUUUUUUUUCACGGUGUUUAUGAGAUUUGAACUCGUGAACUUCUCAAACAAAGUCUAACGAAUGAACUCGGCUGACUAAUAGAGUUUAGUUUGGUAUUAUAUUUAUACUAAUCAAACUAAGUUUUCAUUUGGAGAAAAAAAAAAGUUUUCAAAUAGUGUUGUAGUCAUAUUUAGAAUAGGAAUGUGAUUGUGUAAAUCCUAGUGUAUCUAGGGAUAUCUUUGAAUAUUCCCUUCAGUAGUUAAUAUCCUAUUAGAGUUGUAAUCCUAAAAGGGUAAGAAUUUAACAUAUCCUACUACUAUAAAUAAAGGCACAAUGGGGUGAUACAACGCACAUCUCACAAUUAAAUUUCUCUCUUCUGUCUCUUAUUGCCGCCGGCUUCCCCCUCUCUAUUCCCUUAGAAUAGUUUAGUCAAAUAGGCAUACAACACGUUAUCAGCACGCUCUUGUCAAAAACUAAGAAACUGAAGGAUCGUAGAAGGAGGCUCUCUUCUACAAAAUUCAAAGGCUUCUAUUUGUUUUCUGCCAAUUAAGUACGCUUAAAAUAAAGUAAGAUAUUUGAAACAUCCACGAAGCAUGAAAACAUUCCCCAUGAUGCAUGAAAACAUUCCCCAUGAUGCAUGAACCCCUUAUAUUUAUAUUUUCCCUAU